GCCGGCGUGGCGGAAUGGCAGACGCAGAGGACUUAAAAUCCUCAGGGGGGUAACCCCCGUGUGGGUUCGAAUCCCACCGCCGGUA
rfam:Singulisphaera acidiphila DSM 18658, complete genome.